rnacentral:rRNA from 1 species
CCUACGGGUGGCAGCAGUGGGGGAUAUUGCACAAUGGGGGAAACCCUGAUGCAGCGACGCCGCGUGUGGGAAGACGGUCCUCUGGAUUGUAAACCACUGUCCCCAGGGACGAAGAUGACGGUACCUGGGGAGGAAGCUCCGGCUAACUACGUGCCAGCAGCCGCGGUAAUACGUAGGGAGCGAGCGUUGCCCGUAUUUACUGGGUGUAAGGGGAGCGUAGGCGGGACUGCAAGUUGGGUGUCAAAUCUACCGGCUCAACCGGUAGCCGCACUCAAAACUGCAGUUCUUGAGUGAAGUAGAGGCAGGCGGAAUUCCUAGUGUAGCGGUGAAAUGCGUAGAUAUUAGGAGGAACACCAGUGGCGAAGGCGGCCUGCUGGGCUUUUACUGACGCUGAGGCUCGAAAGUGUGGGGAGCAAACAGGAUUAGAUACCCCUGUAGUC